rnacentral:rRNA from 1 species
GCCCUUAGAGUUUGAUCAUGGCUCAGGACGAACGCUGGCGGCGUGCCUAACACAUGCAAGUCGAACGAAGCUACUUGGUUAGCUUGCUAACCGGGUAGACUUAGUGGCGGACGGGUGAGUAACACGUGGGUAACCUACCUGGGAGACCGGGAUAACAGCUCGAAAGGGCUGCUAAUACCGGAUGAAGUAUGAGUAAUUAGAUUUACUUGUACCAAAGGCGUUAAGUAGUGCUCCUGGAUGGGCCCGCGGCUCAUUAGCUAGUUGGUAGGGUAAAGGCUUACCAAGGCGAUGAUGGGUAGCCGGUCUGAGAGGAUGGUCGGCCACACUGGGACUGAGACACGGCCCAGACUCCUACGGGAGGCAGCAGUGGGGAAUAUUGCGCAAUGGGGGCAACCCUGACGCAGCGACGCCGCGUGAGUGAAGAAGGCCUUCGGGUUGUAAAGCUCUGUCAGGGGGGAAGAAGGUGACGGUACCCCCUGAGGAAGCCCCGGCUAACUACGUGCCA